rnacentral:rRNA from 1 species
GAGGCGAACCGGGGGAACUGAAACAUCUAAGUACCCCGAGGAAAAGAAAUCAACCGAGAUUCCGAAAGUAGCGGCGAGCGAAAUUGGACUAGCCCUUAAGCUUUACACGCGUUAGACGAACGGUCUGGAAAGUCCGACGAUACAGGGUGAUAGUCCCGUAGUUGACGACGUGUGUUCAGUGAAAUCGAGUAGGGCGGGACACG